rnacentral:rRNA from 1 species
UACGUAGGGUGCAGGCGUUAAUCGGAAUUACUGGGCGUAAAGCGUGCGCAGGCGGUUUGCUAAGACAGGUGUGAAAUCCCCGGGCUCAACCUGGGAACUGCAUUUGUGACUGCAUGGCUAGAGUGCGGCAGAGGGGGAUGGAAUUCCGCGUGUAGCAGUGAAAUGCGUAGAUAUGCGGAGGAACACCGAUGGCGAAGGCAAUCCCCUGGGCCUGCACUGACGCUCAUGCACGAAAGCGUGGGGAGCAAACAGG